rnacentral:rRNA from 1 species
UACGAAGGGGGCUAGCGUUGCUCGGAAUCACUGGGCGUAAAGCGCACGUAGGCGGCUUUUUAAGUCAGGGGUGAAAUCCUGGAGCUCAACUCCAGAACUGCCUUUGAUACUGAGAAGCUUGAGUCCGGGAGAGGUGAGUGGAACUGCGAGUGUAGAGGUGAAAUUCGUAGAUAUCAAGCGGAACACCGGUGGCGAAGGCGGCCUUCUGGACGAUGACUGACGCUGAGACGCGAAAGCGUGGGGAGCAAACAGG